CUCCCUGUCAUCCAACCAACAA
rnacentral:siRNA from 1 species